CGGUCCCCACUGGAGACCUGGAACCAAGCCUAACCUUUUGGGGGGGCAAGCUUCGGUACCCCGAGCUGCAGAGCACACCCGCCCGGUCUUCCGGGCCACCAGCUGCAGCUUGCUUUUCUCCUCCUUCUCCCACCCAGAGACAGCGCGACUCCGUGCCGCUCCUAUCCAUCCUACCGGGAAGCGACGGCCAGAGAAGCAGCCUGGCGGUGGUGAUGAGAGUACAGUACAAGGAAUCGGAGUCGGGUCGGUGUUUAUACGGUUGAUGGUGCCUUAUCCAAGUUGGAGUCUGGUAACAGGAGGACGCUUUACCUUUUGCCAGCUUUGGCGACAAGGAGCAGUUCAUCAAGGAGAACAAAUCUGAGCGCCCAGGUGGGGUGCUGGCUCUGUGAGUCUGGGCCCUUUUUGCGUGUGAGAUCUACAAAAAGCAGUUUGAAAGAGAUCAAACGGGUGCUGAGGUCUGUGAACUGGGAACCUCUUUAUGCUUUAAGAGGGGUCCAACAAAAAGCAGUUCAGAACAAGAAUAAAUUGAAGCACUAUGCUCUC